GGGUGGAGACGUAGGGGUGUGGGGGGGAGGGGGGGGGGGGGGGGGAAUGGGGAGGGGGGGAGGGGAUGGUCGGGAUGGAGGUGAAGAGGGGCUCAGGUGAAGACCAGCAUCAUGGGGAAGGAGGAGCGGCCAGAAGACACUUCAGGGCCACCGUUCAGGGCGCUGCUGGGAGGGAGAGAAGAAGGUCUGAGAUUAGAUUAGUAAGAAAAGGGAAAACAAGAAAGAACCAAAGAACAGAACCAAAGGAAUGAUAAUAAGAGCAAACUGAGGGGUAAUGGUCUGAUCAGAACUGAAUCACCAAUCAGACAUAUUGCCCAGCAUUGUUUAGUGAGACAAUACACAUAAUUGGGCCUUUGAGAUAACCCAACGUGUGGGGAACCGGGCAGACAAAACGUGAAUUACCAAAUCAUAAGCAAUCACCAUUAUUGUGAAAUCCUCUUUCAACUCAAGGGUCUGUGUGUUUCCUGAGCUCUUUACGGCCUUUAGGAGGCCGAUGGAGAUAGAAGGGACUGAAUGGGGGGCGGUUCACCACCGUGGACAGGUUUUGUUCAAACCACUGUCUGCAUUCUGAAGCACACAACGGGUCCCUAUACAAUAAACUCUGCACCAGACAGACAUCGGACCAAAUGGAAACAGGAUAGACAGAGGGGGGGAGUGGAAAGGGGGGUGUUCACAGAAAAACACACCAUGGUUGGGGGAAAUUAGUAAAAAGAGGAAAAAGGGAAACUAAAACAGGUCGCCUUUUCUCCAGAACACUUAUAUUAACGACGUCAUCGAACAUGAUAACAUGAUUAACAUAACAAAAAAACGCAAUCGUUAUUCUAAAGGACCGCACGGUUCUGAACAGUGCAUGACUUCUACAACUGUGAGAGACUCAGUCUCCCUCCAAGCCAGGGCUGCAGCUUCCUUCACAGAGCCCCGUUGUGUUGCCAUGGUGAUAACAGAAAAGACCGGUGCAUAGUUGUGUAUGCAUGUGUGUUUUUACGUUUCGAAGAAAAAGGCACACACAUCUCUCUGUGCGAGUCAAAUCAACCUCGGCUAGCAGUAAAAACAACCUAGAGGCCAUUUGGAUAUGGGAACAUCUGAAAGAGAGCCUGUGGAUGUUUGGUCCAAUCGAUGAUGAUCUCAUUCGGCACCGAGUCUGGUCUUUAAAAAAAACCCGCACAUCAAUCUGCAGUGUGUGUGUGUGUGUGCGUGUGUGCGAGUGGAGGUUUUGUCGUACUGGCGAUGUGCCUCCUGUUUGGAACCCAGCAAAAAAAAAAAAAAAGCCUGCACUGCAGCCGCAAGCCACAUGCACCGAUUGGCUGUCCAGGGAGGGCGGCGAGAGGCCCUACAGAGCAGGGAGGAGGGGAGAAGGGCAGCACGGGGAGAGGCUUACAUUGAGGUCAGCCCUGGGUAAAAAACAACGCUUCAAACGCAGACUCUGUCUGCAGCCACGGCCACAAGACGUUCCACAUACUAGAUGCGGUGAGCAAAAAACAAACAAACACACUUUCUCCCUCACUUACCCCCCGGACUUUCGUUACGUUUCAGUAAAAAAAUAG
rnacentral:lncRNA from 1 species